GGCGUGCUUAACACAUGCAAGUCGAACGAUGAAGGAGGAGCUUGCUCCUCUGGAUUAGUGGCGAACGGGUGAGUAACACGUGAGCAAUGUGCCCUUGACUCUGGAAUAAGCGCUGGAAACGGCGUCUAAUACCGGAUACGACCUUCGGAGGCAUCUCCUGUUGGUGGAAAGAACUUCGGUCAAGGAUCAGCUCACGGCCUAUCAGUUAGUUGGUGAGGUAACGGCUCACCAAGACGACGACGGGUAGCCGGCCUGAGAGGGUGACCGGCCACACUGGGACUGAGACACGGCCCAGACUCCUACGGGAGGCAGCAGUGGGGAAUAUUGCACAAUGGGCGCAAGCCUGAUGCAGCAACGCCGCGUGAGGGACGACGGCCUUCGGGUUGUAAACCUCUUUUAGCAGGGAAGAAGCGAAAGUGACGGUACCUGCAGAAAAAGCACCGGCUAACUACGUGCCAGCAGCCGCGGUAAUACGUAGGGUGCAAGCGUUGUCCGGAAUUAUUGGGCGUAAAGAGCUCGUAGGCGGUUUGUCACGUCUGCUGUGAAAUCCCGAGGCUCAACCUCGGGCUUGCAGUGGGUACGGGCAGACUAGAGUGCGGUAGGGGAGAUUGGAAUUCCUGGUGUAGCGGUGGAAUGCGCAGAUAUCAGGAGGAACACCGAUGGCGAAGGCAGAUCUCUGGGCCGUAACUGACGCUGAGGAGCGAAAGCAUGGGGAGCAAACAGGCUUAGAUACCCUGGUAGUCCAUGCCGUAAACGUUGGGAACUAGAUGUGGGGACCAUUCCACGGUCUCCGUGUCGUAGCUAACGCAUUAAGUUCCCCGCCUGGGGAGUACGGCCGC
rnacentral:rRNA from 1 species